AAAAAUAUUUUUUUCUUGGAUUUCAUCAUCAUUUCUUGAGACAAAAGAUAAAUCAAGACACAUAAAAUAGAAACUAAACUACCAAACACUUAAGUUACAAACAUCAAAGUUGGAUAUUGAGAUAUCCGUCACUAGUAAGUGUGAAUCCUAUUCAGAUUCACACUCCAUAAAUGUUUUGCUCUUGAUCUUCAUUUUGUAAAAGACACCAUCUAGCCAAAGAAGGUUCAACUUGCGGAUCAGUUAACCAAACCUAUAUCGGAUUUUACCUUUUGUACUGUUCAAAAUAAACUCAAUGUUGUAGCACCUCCACCCAUAAGUGGAGGAGGGGAGGUGUUAAGUAAUAACUUGAAUAUUCUUUUCUUAAAGCGUUUUCUCUCUCAUAUGACACUCACCAUAUCUUAGAUAUUGAAUAAGAGAUUUUGCUUGAUGCAUAUCAUGAACGAACCUGCAGUAACAGUAAGCAUUUGAAGAACAAAGUAAAAGAGAGAGUGAAAAGUGAUCCGUAGUAAACUGAAAUGGAAUUUUCCCAUAAAACUGGUCCACGAGGGGAGAAUAAGAAAACCAAGCCCUCAAAACUUAUGCGGGUCCCGAACAAACUCACCUUUAUUUUUUCUUGAGUGUAGGGCGAAGAUUUUUUAGUUAUGUCGAAAGCGAAACGACGUGCCUUCAAAAGGUAUUGACUCGAGUAUAAAUAGAGUCGACCCCGUAGCUUGUCUCAUAACAAAGCAAGUGGUAUUCUUAAUUUGAGGAAAAGAGUGUCCAUUUUCCUGAUUGAUCAUGGCUGGAGGAAGUAGGGACCCUCUGGUUGUUGGUCGUGUGAUAGGGGAUGUGUUGGAACCCUUUGAGUGUUCCAUUCCCAUGAGGGUCACCUACAGUAACAGAGAUGUCAGCAAUGGAUGUGAAUUCAAACCCUCACAAGUUGUCAACCAACCAAGAAUAAAUAUCGGUGGAGAUGACCUCAGGAACUUCUACACCUUGGUAAUUCAUUACUCCUUCUCUUCUUUUUCAUCACCAUCUUCAGUUCAUUCUGUUUGCCACUCAGUGCAAAUAUGAUUUUACUUUCACCUAACUUCAGCUUUUUCGUAUUUGUAAAAUGAUUUCUUUGUUGGGUGUAAUUAGUCAAACAGUUUUUACCUUUGAAUGCUUUGUUCUUUUUAAAAUAAUAGAGUUUUUAUACACAUUAUUUGUAUCUCUUUGUCUUAGUUAAUUUAUACGAUACAGAUUAUAAAUUCAAUAACUAAAUAAAUAAUUUUCUCAAAAUAUGAAAUUAUUAUUUCUGGUUCAUAAUGUCAUCUAACACUUGUUGCAUGUUUAUCUGUCUAUAGAAGUUCAAAAGACUAUUUCAAGUGAAACCUACUGUGCAGUAUAUAUGUGAUGUGUAUAAAAUUCUUCAAGUUCUUCAAAAUAAAUAUUAUUAAUGUAAUUUAAAAUAAACCUUAGAAAUAAAAUGAGUGAUGAUUUCAAUGCAGUAUUAGGACUCUAAUUGCAAUCUGGGACCAAUAGGUUUUACAUUGAUAUAGCAGUAUCUACCUAAAUCGAUGUUAGUUUCUUUAAUUUCAAUGAUCAGUAACAGAUCGUAUGUUCAUUUCAUUGAUUUCUUUCAUUAACAGAUCGCAGUUGAUCCCGAUGCACCUAGUCCAAGUGACCCUAAUUUGAGAGAAUACCUCCAUUGGUGAGCAAAAAAUACAUGAAUCUUCGUCUACAAGAACUGAACUAUACAUUUAUGAAUUUUGCUAGCUUAAUGUUCCAAUACUUUACUACCUUUGUCUCUCUCUCUCCAAUGUAUUUCAGGCUGGUGACUGAUAUUCCUGCAACAACGGGACCUAGUUUCGGUAUGUAUCAUAUUCGUCCAUUUUAUUAACCUAAAAGUGUCUGUGUUCUGGCUUAAACAUAUUCAAACCCUUAUUUUUUACUUAAACUUAAUGAAUUUUAUGUAUGUGUAUAUUCAUAACAAAAUUAAUGUUUUCUUAAGUGUAUUUGUGAUUUAUGAUUUCUUUUUUAAGUUACUCGAGUAAUAAGGAACUGAAAAUUUCAAAAUAUUAAUUAUUUUUAGAAGAUAUUGGAUAUUUCAUGAACUCUGUAUUCCUAAACUCGUUUCACCUAAUUUUGGAAUAAAAAUGUAGGUAAUUAAUAUGAUAAGAAGCCUACACUAAUGAGAAUAAUUUUACAGGGUAGGCUGAAUGGGAAAUAAAAUUUGGAUAUUCUAUAAAGGGUCCAUCAACUUUUAUCUCACUCAAAAGUUUAUCUUUUGUCGUUAAGAGUAGUACGUAUAGUUUCCUUAAUAUCAGUGAUGUCCAAGUUCAUCAGAAUAUAUGUGGUCCAAAGUAGUACAUAUGAACAUUUUCUUACGUUUUAAAUACAAUAAACAUUAUUUUUAUUCAUAUUUUUAUUUCUUUAGUUAGUAUUUAUACCUAUUGUUUCAGGUUUAGGGUAUCUUUAUUUAAUUAUAUUAGAAUGAAAAAGACUGAUUAAUGGAAAGAUAUUAAUGAUUUGGAUAAGAAUUAAAUCUUCAGUAUUAUAAUUAUAUAAAUAAUUUUAAUUGGUUUCAUCGUAUAUAUGGUUUGCCUUUGAAUUGAAUUUGAUCUAAAGGAGUGUUGAAUUCAUUUUGGUCUAACAUAUUAUGAAACACUAAUAUAAUUUUGAAAUGUUUCAUACGCCAGGUAUAAAUUCAUAGAGCUUCAGAUAAUAUAUAUAUAGUGAAAGUGAAAAAGUGAUUGGAUAUUAUUGAACACAUACUAUGACAUGCAUAUGCAUAUCUUAACAUCAACAACCAUCCUUAAAUAUUCUUUGCUCAUAAAGAAAAACAUCCUUAAAUAUUAUGUUAUGUCAAAUAGGUAGUUGCAUAUAUAUAAUUAAGAUAAAUUCAAAUUAGGAGGAUACUAAAAGUGAAAAAAAAAAAUGAUAGAGAUAUCUACAUUUAAGUCAUUUUUACAACUUAAAAGUAUUAAAUAAAAACAUGUUUUUGGCUGGUAUGAUUCAGAAUAUACAGUUGUUGGAGAAUCCAAAUUAGCCAAUUACACUACGAAACCUAAAAGCAUUGAACCAUAUAGCAUCGAAUUCUUAAAGUGCAUAAUCAUGUCAGAAAAGAUAGAAGAUUAUUCUAUUCAAGAUAUAACACAAAGCAAGUGUUCUUUCUGAAGGAGAAUAUUCAUAUUGAAUAGAUUACCUUUUGUUGGCCAUCUAUGCAGAUCACUUGACAAGAUAACAGUAAAACCUUCAUAGCAGGGGUCUAUAGAUCAGAACAGAACAUCAUUCAAAAAAAAGCUUCAUAGCCUGUUGAUGCAACUGGUUUAACAAAAAUUGAUAAGUGAAGUGGUAGAAGAAGAAUCAGAUAUGCUUAAAUUCCACUCCAAACAUCUUGACUAAAACUGAGUUAGAGUCAAAUAGGGUUACUGUGAGUGACUAAACUCACCUUAGUUUUAUUCCUAGUAUUCAUAAUUCAAACCCAAGACUUGUGAUUAAGUUAGAACAACUUUACACAAGUUGAUUCAUGUGUUUGAUGAUUCCUCAGUAACACAUAUAAUUCAGUAAACUAAACAGCUUUACCACCACACCCUCAUCAACCUUCUACCAGGAUCUGCAAUCUUCAAAUCCUUCUCAUGAAAUCAGAAACUUUGAAUCUACCAAAUUUAGUGAACCCGACCUUGCUGGAAAAAAAGAAAAAUAUAAUUCUCCUUCUAUCACCAAUCAGCUGUUCAAAACCAGAGCUUACCAGUAAGAGUGGUGAAUGUUUCUUCCCUUCGCUCUCACGCGUUUUAUCUUUCUUAUAAUAUCUCAUCCAUCUGAAAACGACACGUAAUUUAAAUCAACACUCUCUUCAUUGGUUAUAUUUAUUAUUAUUGGAAGAUAGGGAAAGGGACACAACAUUAGCGUUUAAAAAAAAAACGCAGACGAAUUUUUAUCCACCCGUAGGUUAUUUAGGUCUUUCACAGGAGCUAGUAGGACCUUACAUAUAUCACUUAUUAAUAUCUAAGCUGAAAUAUAUUGUUUUAUUUUUUUAUAAAAAAAACUAAAAUAUGAAAAAUGCUACUUCAUAUU
rnacentral:lncRNA from 1 species